GGAAGCACUGCGGUCAGCCAGAAGUUCCUGGACAGGCAGUGGGAGUGAAGUGCAUGAAAUCCAACACUCCAUGUCAGGAAUUUGCUACUAAUGGAGCCUAUCUGCAGCAUGGGAACCAGCAAGUGAGAGCUGAAAUCAAGGCUGUCAGACUCACUUCGCUUACUGGUUACGAAAUGGGACAAAUCAGCCCCAGAGUCACACGGAAACAUGAGCACGGUGGUGACACGGCCUUUCAUGCACAGCGUCAGCACUAAAAACAGCAUAUAGAUGGUUUGGGAAGUUAUAAACACCGACCUCAUGAUUCUAUUCUGAGCUGGUCCUAUGACAAAAAGGGGGGGAAAAAUAACCAAAUGAAAACAGCAACAACAAAAAUCCAACAGAAGAUAAGAGCCCAAAGCAAUGGGCAGCACUGCAUGGGGCCCACCGUGCUGGCUGUGGGAUGGGAGCUGGCAGCACUGACUGACACCGGCACAGCUGCAGCCCAAUGGCUCCAGCAGCAAAGUGCUUCAGAGCUUCCCUUCCUCUUCUUAAUUAUCAUGAUUUUUUUUAAGCUAAACAGCCUUUGUCAGGUUACUCGUGUCAUGUCCCUGUUUAGCCUCCCACAUCCAAAGUUCAGAUGGAUAUUCAGAAUGGCUCUUCCUAAUCUUCAGCAUGUCAGACUUCAUCGGUUGAUCUCAAGUUUCCAGCUGUCUCCCAGAAGGGAUCUACAGAGCCCCAGCGGCCUGCAGCCACCAUAUGACACCCUUUCUUUCUUACCGACACCAGUAAAGAAAAGAUGCUACAAGUUCAACACGUGGUGCCUUUGGGGGAGAGCAGUCACUACUUCAGUGUGGUGGCUGGAGUGCAGCAGCAGUGCCUUCAGCAGAGAUGUGUCCUUGCCUUUAGGGCUGGGCUGCAGCAUAGAGCUCUGCACGAGGAGCCCUGAAGUACCAUCAGAAGGAGCAGAGUGUUCAGUGCUGACUCUUCAGGUGCAAAGGAAGGAAGGUUGGAGAGCUGGAACUCUGCCCUUCAGGGCUCAUCAAAGAGCCACACAUGAUAAUCCCACCUGCAGGGCCCUGAACACCUGGCACCAGGGAGAGAAAAGCACUGUUUGGUUUUAA
rnacentral:lncRNA from 1 species